UACAGAGGGUGCGAGCGUUGUUCGGAAUCACUGGGCGUAAAGGGAGCGUAGGCGGGUGUUUAAGUUAGGUGUUUAAUCCUGGGGCCCAACCCCAGUCGUGCACCUAAAACUGGACAUCUUGAAUAGUGGAGAGGUCAGUGGAAUUGGGGGUGUAGCGGUGGAAUGCGUAGAGAUCCCCAAGAACACCAGUUGCGAAGGCGGCUGACUGGACACAUAUUGACGCUGAGGCUCGAAAGCAUGGGGAGCAAACAGG
rnacentral:rRNA from 1 species